UCAAAUCUACAGAGUUCGUUUCACGCCACGUAUCCUAUCUUUGUAGGAACGACGUAACGUACCACAACAUGUGUUUUUAAGUUUGCCUAUAACGUCUCGCAACACCAGAUUCCUCCCCCAACAAUCGACCGAGAGAUACGUCUGUUACCGCCCCCGCCUUCUUCCACCAAACACGAUUCUUCGGGACGAUUGGUUUUCACUGAUCGCCUUUCGUAAUACACCGCCAUAGAUGACCCGUCGCCGUGAUUCUCUAUGUAGUUUUGUGACUACAACUGCUUCUUUCUUUUUAUUGCUCGAAUUUCUCUUCUGUUGGUGCACCAAAAAUUGAAUCGAACAGUUUUUUCCUGACUCUCAAGUAUUCAUCCAUCCCUUUGAAAGGGAACAGGUCCAUGUUGAAGUUUUAAGGAGUGGAAGGACAUGAGUUGGAAAGGAAAAGAUCCUUCUACUGAGUUAUGAUUCUAUUCCAUAAUUAGAAGCAGGAGACUGGGGACUGGAAUAGAUUGUGGAGCUUUUGAAGGGCAGAAUGGUCCAGUGUAGAGUUGCUGGCUGGACACCAAUGCCCUUUGUGCUGCAUCAUCAUCCGCUAACAUGACUGUGCCAACAAGAUAGAAGAUGCUGCUGGUCAGCUUUUUAGGUGCAAUUAAUUUUGAAUUCUUUUGAACAAAUUUAUGUAAAAUCAUUGUAUAGUAAAGUACGUUGCUGUAUUAUGCUAUGUGUUUUAUACUUGAAAGCCCAACACCAAUAGCGUCCGUCAUAUAAGAUUUGUAAAAAAAGUUAAACAAACCUCCAUGGGCGGUGUUAAGCACGGUAGUUUUUCAAUGAUAUUCCAAAACAAUACUCAAGGG